rnacentral:rRNA from 1 species
AUAAUGGAGAGUUUGAUCCUGGCUCAGGACGAACGCUGGCGGCGUGCCUAAUACAUGCAAGUCGAGCGGAACCAUUGGAGCUUGCUCCUUUGGUUUAGCGGCGGACGGGUGAGUAACACGUGGGCAACCUGCCCUGCAGAUCGGGAUAACUCCGGGAAACCGGUGCUAAUACCGGAUAACAUUUUGAACCGCAUGGUUCGAAAUUGAAAGGCGGCUUCGGCUGUCGCUUAUGGAUGGAC